rnacentral:rRNA from 1 species
UACGUAGGGACCGAGCGUUGUCCGGAUUCAUUGGGCGUAAAGAGCUCGUAGGCGGCUGUUCAAGUCGAACGUGAAAACUCGGAGCUCAACUCCGAGCCUGCGUUCGAUACUGGACGGCUAGAGUCUGGUAGGGGGAUCUGGAAUUCCUGGUGUGAGCGGUGGAAUGCGCAGAUAUCAGGAGGAACACCGGUGGCGAAGGCGGGAUCCUGGGCCAGUACUGACGCUGAGGAGCGAAAGCGGUGGGGAGCAAACAGGG